rnacentral:rRNA from 1 species
CCGUAACGAGCGCAACCUUGUCCUUAGUUACCAGCACGUUAUGGUGGGCACUCUAAGGAGACUGCCGGUGACAAACCGGAGGAAGGUGGGGAUGACGUCAAGUCAUCAUGGCCCUUACGGCCUGGGCUACACACGUGCUACAAUGGUCGGUACAAAGGGUUGCCAAGCCGCGAGGUGGAGCUAAUCCCAUAAAACCGAUCGUAGUCCGGAUCGCAGUCUGCAACUCGACUGCGUGAAGUCGGAAUCGCUAGUAAUCGUGAAUCAGAAUGUCACGGUGAAUACGUUCCCGGGCCUU